ACAGACAGCAGGGGUGGUAACUGGGUCUGCUCUGUUUCAGUGCCGGGGCAGGACGGACAGGGACCUUUUGUGCCUUGAGCACAGUCCUGGAGCGCGUGAAAGCAGAAGGAAUUUUGGAUGUCUUCCAAACGGUCAAGAGCCUGCGGCUGCAGAGGCCACACAUGGUCCAGACACUGGAACAGUAUGAAUUCUGCUACAAGGUGGUACAGGAGUACAUCGAUGCCUUCUCAGAUUAUGCCAACUUCAAGUGACAGGGGACAAGGCCCACAGACAGGAGAAUUGCCUUUAAUAUUUUGUAAUAUUCUGUUUUGUUAAUAUACCCAAAAUUGUAUAUAUCUUAUAACUGUUUUAGAAAUGGCACAUAGGCUUCUAUUACCUAUUAGGUGGAGAUUUUGUAUGUAAAUGUGUUAGCACUGUAGUCCUUUUCCAGUGUUUUAUUGGGGAAUUAAAUAGUGUGAUAUUUGAGUUGAUUUAAUGAAGUCCUCAGCCUGGAAAUUGGGCCAGAUUAUUCUUUGCUUCAAAUGUCUUUUUCUAAAGAAGACAAACAUAAGAGUCAUUCCAGGUAACUCGGUGCCAACUAAAACAAAGCACAACGUUCUCGGAGCUCUUGAGGAAAUGGUUGUCUCACCGUCCCCAGGCCGGCCUCUUCCCCUCCCCGUCCUGUAAAUAUCCCUCCCCUCUCCAGUCCACCCUCAUCUCCCACCAAUAUCAGCCACCUCAGGCGUGGGGAAUAAUGAGAGCAGAGCAGCAUCCCUGGCACCACACUAGGAAUCAUCAGGUAAUAAACACUCUUGAUUCCCGGA